UCUGAUCCAGCCAUGCCGCGUGCAGGAAGAAUGCCCUAUGGGUAGUAAACUGCUUUUAUACGGGAAGAAAAAGAGCUACGUGUAGCUUACUGACGGUACCGUAAGAAUAAGGACCGGCUAACUCCGUGCCAGCAGCCGCGGUAAUACGGAGGGUCCGAGCGUUAUCCGGAAUUAUUGGGUUUAAAGGGUCCGUAGGCGGGCCGAUAAGUCAGGGGUGAAAGUCUGCCGCUCAACGGUAGAACUGCCUUUGAUACUGUCGGUCUUGAGUUAUAGUGAAGUUGCCGGAAUAUGUAGUGUAGCGGUGAAAUGCAUAGAUAUUACAUAGAACACCGAUUGCGAAGGCAGGUGACUAACUAUAUACUGACGCUGAUGGACGAAAGCGUGGGGAGCGAACAGGAUUAGAUACCCUGGUAGUCCACGCCGUAAACGAUGGAUACUAGCUGUCCGGAGCCUUGAGUUCUGGGCGGCCAAGCGAAAGUGAUAAGUUCCCACCUGGG
rnacentral:rRNA from 1 species